AUUGAACGCUGGCGGCAGGCCUAACACAUGCAAGUCGAGCGGAUCGGCGGACGGGUGCGUAAUGCCUAGGAAUCUGCCUGGUCGUGGGGGAUAACGUCCGGAACUGGGAGCUAUUACCGCAUCCUCUCAGAUGAGCCUAGGUCGGAUUAGCUAGUUGGUGGGGUAAAGGGCUACCAAGGCGACGAUCCGUAACUGGUCUGAGAGGAUGAUCAGUCACACCUGGACUGAGACACGGUCCAGACUCCUACGGGAGGGAGCAGUGGGGAAUAUUGGACAAUGGGCGAAAGCCUGAUGCAGCCAUGCCGCGGGGUUGAAGAAGGUUUUCGGGUUGUAAAGCACUUUAAGUUGGGAGGCGUUACCAACAGAAGAAGCACCGGCUAACUUCGUGCCAGCCGCCGCGGUAAUAC
rnacentral:rRNA from 1 species